AGUCAUUUUGGGUAAGGGUCUUCUACAUCCCUCACAGAUGGGGGCUCGUCCGGGAUGGGGUCUUUGGGGGAGAUGGCUAUGUGCACCCCGAACAGGGACAGGCGCCCACGGAGUAGUUUUCUCCAUGGUCUCUGGCUCUGGGUGAGCAGCCUCCCUCCCCUCUUAGACAACAACCCGAAGCAGGGAUACUCAGUGGAACGCAGAAUUGAAGAUUGAAAGAAGUAGAGUCCUGAUGGCCGGCAUUUGCAGCCUGAAAAGAAACAUAUGUUCUCGAGAUUUUGGUCAAAUUACAGAUUAUUGAAUCUCUUCUGAGACAUUGAUCGGCCCAUCUGAAGCUUAGAUUGACACCACACCCACACCCCUGCAUGGAUUGAGCACCUUCGCCCAUUUCUCAGCCUGAAGCAGCUAAGAUCAAGACCAUCGCCAGUGCUCCUGAUGUAAUUUGGACUGAUAUGGGGGAAGUGGGAAAGUAGUUGAUGAAUUAUUGUUAAAAUUACAACUCUAUUACUAGAGUUAGAAAAAAAAUGCAAACAUUACUGUGUGUUUAAGAUUUGGGAUGGAAAUUAUUAAAAAUGGUAACUAUUGCUGUUAAGGAAGCUAUAAAAUGUUUAUAAUAUCUAUGUUCACUUCAGAAUAUGUAAUUGUUUAAGGUAUUUGAUUUGAUUUGAUUGAUUUUAGGAAACUCCUCCUGUACUAGACUGUUAUGUACAGGAACUUUAAUUCACUCUUGGGAUUUAUAUGUUGAUGGUUAUUUGACUGUUUACUUUUUUUUUUUUUUUUGGAUGAUUACUUUCCAUGAGGGAAAAAAAAAGGAGAGAAAGAGAUAGGGAACUAGGGAAACUGGUGGAUUUUUCUCAAAAUACCUAAAAGAGUGGGAACCCUUAGUUUUCUUUCACUUUUGCCUUACGUACUUCUGCCCCAUCCCCUAUACAUUCAGAUUGAAUUGGAAGUCCUUAAACAAUCCUUUUUGUUUUUACUGUGUUUUAGCUUUGAAACCCUUAUUCUGUGGAAUUGCCCUGGCAGACUCAGUUUUGGGAACUAUUCUGUUUUAAAGAAAUCUCUAAGAUAAAGACAUUUGUCUUGGGACUGGCAAUCACCAGCCCUGUAACCCCAGUUUCUUAACUGGUACCUCAGCAUUUUUAAUAACAUUGCCCUUUUGAGAUCAAGCCUCUAAAGUUUGGAGUUUGCCUGAACUGUGCAUGCUCUGAUAGCUCUGCUCAGAAAUAAGCAGAAGCUGAGUUAAGUGCACAAAUGACUGCAGACCCCCUAACACAGUGAACUGUCCAUCUCAAACUGGAUUCUCUGACUGAGAUGAGGGCCUUUGUACUGCUGAUAACUCUGGGGUUGUCAGGAAGAGACUUGUCCUUCCUUGCAUUUUCUAGUUUCAUUUUGACUUAUUUGCCUCACAUUGGAUUGGUCAAAAUUAUGGUGCUGAGACCUCCCAGUAUCUUGGGGAGGUAAUUCAAUAAUUCAAAUAUUCAGAAGAAGAGUGUGUAAUGUUGUGCCUCAGUUUCCCUAGAUUGUCAUCUUUAUUUAUCUUUGUAUUUUUAUGUUUGCCAAAUGCCAAUCUGUUCUGUGAUAAUUGUUUCUAAGAUAGUUGGUGGAAGCAAUUUUUAUGGUAUGAACUUAUUGCAGUCAAUGGUAUUAUCCUGUUGCUGCUAUGUCUAUCCUGUAUAAUUACAUUAGUAACCAGAAUAGUUCAGUGGUCCCUAUCAAAAUAUUGCAUACAGAAGAUGCUAUUAAAAUGAUAAUUCUUCAGAGAAAAGACUGGAAUGUAUUAAAGAGGGAUGAUCUUGAUUGUGAACUUGAUAAACAAUGUAUAGAUAUAUUAACUGAUUUUGAAAAGUGUGUAAGUUCUUCAUAGAAAUAUGAUAAAAAUCAUUUACAUGUUAGAAGGGGGGAGCUGUGGGGAAUAGAUAAGGUGAAGAACUUACAGGAAUGUAUGAAUUCUUUUUCUGUAUUUUAUUAUUUCUGUGUCUCCCCUAUGACCUGUAUAUGUGCAGGCUCAUAUCUACUUGAGCCUUGGCCAGCUAGAAACAUAUUUACUUAACCUGAACUGAUGACAUUUAUUGGUAUUUGACAUUUAUCAAUAUUUAGUCUAUUAGCUGGACCACUGUCUGCUUGAUUAAGCCUGAAGGCCUGACUUUGUUUCCCAGAAAUCAGGAGAUUUCAGGGAAACAGAAACCUUCCAUUCCAAUCUCCCCAACUAGCAACAACCAAUUAGAUGCUUCCCCCUCCCCUUUCAAUGCUCUCUUAC